GUGCUAGCUUUGGCAGCACAUAUACUAAAAUUAGAAUGAUACAGAGAAGAUUAGCAUGGCCCCUGUGCAAGGAUGACACACAAAAAAAGAAAGAAAAAGAUAUGUGUU